CUUCAUCGAUCCUUUAAUUCUCUGCUCACUCCCUGGUUGAGUUGGGGAGAAAUAUUAGAGAAAGAAGCUUGGCCAACACUGAUUUUAUAAUACGUUAUAGGGGAAUCUCAAAGUGUGUGAACUCUCACGGAAUUACGCACUGGUUAACAAAGAGAGACGGUUGUUGGUUGUCUGUUUCUUUGAAUGAUUGUAUCAAGACAAUAAAAAAGAAAGCAGAGAGAUACUGAAUACAGCUCAGUUAGACUAUAGGGUACAGAGAAACAAAGAGAUUAGCUUUCAUCACGUGUGUUUCUGGCUUUUAUCCAUUUUGCUCGUCCGAUUUUAAAUUUUCCCCUUUUUUUUUCUCUCAUUCUUCUCGAGAUUCUCUCUUGCUCUCAGUUAACUUAUUCUCGCCCUGUUACUUUUUUAUCUUUUCGCAGAGAAAAGAAGAAGGCCACCAUUGGCAGCCAACUCCAAUAAUAAUCCACAUUCUUUAGUCUUUACUGUAACUCAGCAACCCCAGCGAUUACUGGGACCCAUUUGGACCCAGCGGCCAAUUCUGGUGCGAUGUGCAAAAC
rnacentral:lncRNA from 1 species